GAGAGAUAGCUGGUUAUUCAAGAAACGGAUAAAGUCCAAUUUUAACUCUCCCUAUAACACCAAAUAUAUAUUUAGAUUUAAAAUUUAUUUAAAUAAGGUACAGCCUAUUUGAAACAGGAUACAACCUACAACAGAGGGUAACGCCUAACUUAAAGUGAUAAAGUAGGCCUAAAAGCAGCCAUCUUUUAAAAAGCGUUAAAGCUUCACCAUAUUCUCUCCUCUAAUCCCGGCCAAAAUCCGAAACCCCUCACUAAUAUUGAAUGACCCCAUAUGAAUAUGGAAAACCUUAUGUUAGAACUAGUAACAAGAAUAACCCAAUUCUCCAUAAACGUAAAUGUAAGCCAGAAUGAACCACUCACUGGCAUUUACCGCCAAUGAAUCCAAAGUAACAACUAUUCAAGAAAACCUUACUCCCCUUAGCGUUAACCUUACACUAGAACUUUCCCGGAAAGAUUAAAAAGGGGGGAAGGAACUCGGCAAAUACUAACCCCGCCUGUUUACCAA
rnacentral:rRNA from 1 species